UUACAAUGGAGAGUUUGAUCCUGGCUCAGGAUGAACGCUAGCGGCAGGCCUAAUACAUGCAAGUCGAGGGGCAGCAUGGGUAGCAAUACCUGAUGGCGACCGGCAAACGGGUGCGGAACACGUACGCAACCUUCCUUCAAGCGGGGAAUAGCCCAGAGAAAUUUGGAUU
rnacentral:rRNA from 1 species